rnacentral:rRNA from 1 species
UGGGGAAUUUUGGACAAUGGGCGCAAGCCUGACGAAGCAACGCCGCGUGGAGGAUGAAGGUCUUCGGAUUGUAAACUCCUGUCGACCGGGACGAAUGCACUCGACCUAAUACGUCGGAAUGUUGACGGUACCGGUGGAGGAAGCCACGGCUAACUCUGUGCCAGCAGCCGCGGUAAUACAGAGGGUGCAAACGUUGCUCGGAAUUAUUGGGCGUAAAGCGCGUGUAGGCGGCUUGUUAAGUUGGUUGUGAAAACCCAUGGCUCAACCAUGGAAGUGCGUCCAAAACUGGCAAGCUAGAGUUCUGACGAGGAUGGCGGAAUUCCCAGUGUAGAGGUGAAAUUCGUAGAUAUUGGGAGGAACACCGGUGGCGAAGGCGGCCAUCUGGGAAGAUACUGACGCUGAGACGCGAAAGCGUGGGGAGCAAACAGGAUUAGAUACCCGAGUAGUCCCUGAGCGGGCUGGCAAGGCGCAU